rnacentral:lncRNA from 1 species
GGGGUCAAGUGAAAUAACUAUCCAAUGGAUCACAAAAUCAGAGUAGGUGUGUUCGAAUAGCUAUUUUACUAAAAGUGCUUGACGACAGUCUUUACGUUGGAUCUCUGAAAAAAAAUUGUCUUCCGUUUCUACGAUUGUGAAAAUGAACUGGCGUAAUAGGAAGAUAAUUUCGACGAAGUAGAAUCCUGUCUGUAUUGUAUGUUUACAGGUAAGGAAACAUGUGAGAAUAUGUGUCAUGUAAU